AAAAUAUCUUCCGCCUAAGACAGCAGGUGCCGCAGCGGCUCAAUAUCCUGCCGAGGUUGAUGCAGCAGCUUAAAUUAUUUUGUUAUGCAUUAUCCCUCGUCCGGCGGCGAGGGAAUUUUAGUUUA
rnacentral:sRNA from 1 species